GUCUUUGGAUAUCCAGAGUUCCUCCAGUUGCGAGAAAACAGCUGUUAUUUUUCUCCUGAAAGCUUUUGGCACAACCAGCUGGUUGAAACUUUCAGGCACCUUUUAGAGAAGUUGUUAAGGUUUUGUUUGAGGCUUUCUUUGGGUUUUUAAGCCCUCUCUGCCUCACGGAGAGACUUAAGUUCUUAGUUUGCUGAGAAGGAUUCUGAAGAGUUUUUCCUCUCCGGCUUCCGUUUUUCUUGAACCCACUCGGCUCAAUCAUGGUGAUGUUCAAGAAGAUCAAGUCUUUUGAGGUGGUCUUCAACGACCCUGAGAAGGUGUAUGGCAGCGGGGAGAAGGUGGCCGGCCGGGUGACAGUGGAAGUGUGUGAAGUUACCCGAGUCAAAGCCGUCAGGAUCCUGGCUUGCGGUGUGGCCAAGGUCCUGUGGAUGCAAGGGUCUCAGCAGUGCAAACAGACCUUGGACUACUUGCGCUAUGAAGACACCCUUCUCCUAGAAGACCAGCCUACAGGUACAGCUCUUGGCAGGACGGAUAGUGACUUAUGGGGCUGGGGGUGGGGCCUCCACUAAAUGUUUCGAGUCGAUCGUUUGAAUGGUUUGAGCUGUUGGCCCCUAUAUUUUUACCUUUUAAUUUGCAAGUUAUUCCGCUACCCUCCUCCACCCCCCAUAGUAAUUGGAACAGUUUCUGGGGUGCUGUUUCCUGAAGGUGUUGCCU
rnacentral:lncRNA from 1 species